CUUGGGUAUCGGAUAAUCGCUUUUACCUUGUGUAGAAGAGGAAAGUCCAGACAGCUGGAAGCAGGGUGCUUUGAAUAAGAUCAAAGGGAGAUUGCGAGAGCAGUCUGACAGUUAGAGCAACAGAGACGAUCCGGGUAACGCCGGCUGAAACGAUCAAGUGUUUGGAUACGACUGCGUAACAGUAGUCGUGGCAAUCCUCCCCGCUGCAACUGACGACCUUCACCAUAAUGGAUGCUUCCCCUUUGUGUUGCCAAAAGCAACACGGGUGAUCAAGAUGCAGGCUUAGAGAAAUGAUUAUCCUUCGACAGAAUCUGGCUUACAGAUACCCAAGCAUA
rnacentral:RNase_P_RNA from 1 species